rnacentral:rRNA from 1 species
GACGAAGGAUGCAAGCGUUAUCCGGAUUCAUUGGGUUUAAAGGGUGCGUAGGCGGCCAGAUAAGUCAGUGGUGAAAUCCUGUUGCUUAACAACAGAACUGCCAUUGAUACUGUUUUGGCUUGAGUAUAGUUGCUGUGGGCGGAAUAUGACAUGUAGUGGUGAAAAUACAUAGAGAUGUCAUAGAACACCGAUUGCGAAGGCAGCUCACAAAAACUAUAACUGACGCUGAGGCACGAAAGUGCGGGGAUCAAACAGG